rnacentral:rRNA from 1 species
AACGUAGGAGACGAGCGUUAUCCGGAAUUACUGGGCGUAAAGGGCGCGUAGGCGGCGUGUCAAGUCAGGCGUGAAAGCCCCGGGCUCAACCUGGGAACCGCGCUUGAGACUGGCAUGCUCGAGUUCGGGAGAGGAUGGUGGAAUUCCCAGUGUAGAGGUGAAAUUCGUAGAUAUUGGGAAGAACACCGAUGGCGAAGGCAGCCAUCUGGACCGACACUGACGCUGAGGCGCGAAAGCGUGGGGAGCAAACAGG